ACUUGGCCACACAAGAGGGUUCACCCUCACCUCGUCAGUCGCCUCUCCCUCUCUAUAUAAACUUUCCAUUACAAAUCUCUACAUAAAAUUUUCUCUCAUCCCAAACAACUAUCUAAACAAAUUAAAGCCUAAAAGAAAAAACCCAUCAAAUGUCGCUCUGCUCAAACGAAUCAAAUCCACUACCACCUACAAUAACCACGGAAGUAGGCGGCGCCACCGCAAUCUCCUCCGUCCACCCGGACAUAUUAGAGGCUCACAUCCUCACCCGCCUCGAUGGGCCCUCCCUCGUCUCCAUCAGCUGCGCUUCCUCCACCCUCUACUCUCUCUCCUCCCAACAC
rnacentral:lncRNA from 1 species